GGGUGUGAAGUGUUAUGGUAGCACGGCGGUCUCCAAAACCGUAAGCUGAGGUUCGACUCCUUACACGCCUGCCA
rnacentral:tRNA from 1 species